rnacentral:rRNA from 1 species
ACACGUAGGGGGCGAGCGUUGUCCGGAAUUACUGGGCGUAAAGGGCGCGUAGGCGGCCUAUUAAGUCAGAUGUGAAACCCCUGGGCUUAACCUAGGGCUUGCAUUUGAAACUGAAAGGCUUGAGGGCAGGAGAGGAAAGCGGAAUUCCCAGUGUAGCGGUGAAAUGCGUAGAUAUUGGGAGGAACACCAGUGGCGAAGGCGGCUUUCUGGACUGAACCUGACGCUGAGGCGCGAAAGCCAGGGUAGCAAACGGGAUUAGAUACCCCGGUAGUCCUGGCCGUAAACGAUGGAUACUAGGUGUGGGAGGUAUCGACCCCUUCUGUGCCGCAGUUAACACAUUAAGUAUCCCGCCUGGGGAGUACGGCCGCAAGGCUGAA